CAGUAUUUAAUUGUUAUCAGUCCAACCUUUAAAUGCAAACAUCAUCGGUCUAGUUCCGAUGACUUUGGUUUUGUCGAGGUCUUCUCGUUGUCUCUUUAUGCUCAGUGGUGUCAAGAUUCGGUGCCUCACUUACACUUACCCACCACUGGGAUUGAAAUUGGGAAACGUUGAAGAUGAAACUCAAGCAAUUUGCAAUGCAUGCAAAUGGUGGGUAAUAUUGAAGAGAAAGCUGUGGAAGAUUGAACUCAAGCAUGCAUCAUUGUCACAUCACUUUCAACGAGGCUUUGGGGCUCUACCAUCUCAAAUCGCAAAUGGUGAUGAAUUCCACAGUUUCAAUGUUAAAUGCAAAGGUAUUUUCAAUGAGCUUCAUGUGUUUUAUACUCCCUUCAGUAUGAACUAUGAGAAAGUUUUGCAAACAAGAAUUGAUGUAUUUGGUCUAAACUUUAUCUUAGGGUUGUUCGAGAGGGGUUUUUGGAGGGAAGGGCUUUGAAGGGUUAAAUUUAUAUUUUAAUAUAUAUUUGAUUUGAUAUUUUAUAAAAGUUGAAAGAACAACAUGAUAAAUGAUCAUAUAAUACUUCAAUAACACUUAAUUGGUUUUAGAAAAACAUUUUAUAACGUCCGUAAUUGAUAAAAUAGAAUAGUAUGCCCUCCCCUCCAAAAUCCUCUAUCUAAACAUACCCUUAUCCAAACAUAUGAUUCGAGGGAGUACUUCAAUCAUCUAUAAAUAUUAUUAAUUAUUUCUUUAAUAAUGUAAAACUAAAAAAAAACCCAUAUUACGAGACGGAAGAAGUACUCCCUUGAAUCAUAUUUAUAGAUUAAAAGCUACUUUUUAGAUUCAAUAAACAUUUAAUGUAUUUAUAGACUAAAUACAUUAUGUAACUAAUAAAAAAGUAGUUUUUUGUUUAUAAAUGUUACCAGAUGAAGUAUUUUCUUUUACAAUUAAUUUACCUUUAAGAGAUGAGAUGAUGCAAUCCGACACAAGUAUUAGAGCUAAGCAGGUACUUUGGAAAUAAAACAUAAUGAGGAAUUAGUUGGGGAAUAUAAUUUUAAAUAGUGUAAAAUAUUAUAUGAAAGUAAUUUUUGUAUGUAAACCUUUAUAUGCAUACAUCAUUCGAUGACUUUGGUUUUUUCGAGGUCGUGGUUCUUGUUGUCUCUUUAUGCUCAUUGGUGUCAAGAUUCGGUGCCUCACUUACACUUACCCACUGGGAAAUGUUGAAGAUGAAGCUGCGGAAGAUUGAACUCGAGCAAUGUAAUGCAUGCAAAUGAUAUGUUUGUCCAUGGUGGGAAGAGAAAGACCAAAGAAGGAAUGUGUGCUUAACUCCUGUGGAAACUAUAACAAAGCAAGCCUUGGACAUCAAUCAAUAUAUUUUUAUUUAUAUGUAAAUAUUUAAAUAGAGAACUAGAGGGAUUGGAACUAUCCUAUCUCAAAUGGUUUUGAUACGAACACAAUAUUUGCAUUCCAAAGAAAAAACACUUUUUAUUCAAAACUAGGAAGGAAAAAAAAAGAAAUAAGUAGCCCACAGUGUGUUAUCUCUCCUUGUACUAUUUUCAUCUCAAUAACCUUUCACCAUACCCACUCAGCAACUCACUCACAAUACUCAAUGAAACCUAAUAAACUUCUCUUCCCCCUAGACCUACCAUUUCCCCACUCGAAGCAAGUGAAAGUGUACAAAUCUAUUUUGCUUAUAUUGGGAUUUGGGAUAGGGUAAAAUUGAAGAGAAAGCUGCGGAAGAUUGAACUCAAGCAUGCAUCACUGUCACACCACUUUCAACGAGGCUUUGGUGCUCUACCAUCUCAAAUCACAAAUGGUGAUGAAUUCCACGGUUUCAAUGUUAAAUUUAAAGAUGAGUUGGAGGUUUUUUAUCUUAAAAUGGUUUCAAAGAUACACUUGGCCAUGGUGGAAAGGGAAUGACUCAGAAGUAACAGUUGCUUAACUCCUGAGAAAACUAUACUACUGCAAGCCUUGGACAAUCAAUCCAUUUUUUUAUAUAUAAAAAAUAAAAGAGAACUAGUAGAUGAUGCAGAUGAAGAGGCGGUUUUAUAUGCUGAAAUGGUUUCAGGAGAAGCAUGCCACUCCUGUUUUAAUAAAUUCUAAGUUAGUCUGGGAAGGACUUGGAGGAGAGACUGAUUUGGGAAACUGGUGCAGGGUGUGUUUGGAAGGAGGGUUUGAGAAACAAUAACCUUGCUACCGUGAAUUUCUUUGGUGUGUAAUUGAGCAACCUUUGUUUUCAAAGAAUUGCAAGUUUUUACAAGGCUUGUCGACUUCAUACUCUGUUUCUAGAGGGGAAAGAUGGUGUUUGGACUGGUGACCUAUACUCUGGAUAUUCACUGCCAAUGGAAGAUCCCAAAGAAGAGACAAAUGUGGAUCUUGAAGGAACUUGGAAAUAGUUUAUAAGAAGAGCAAUGCUAUUUCAAGCGAAUAAUUCCAUUGUGAAAUUCCACGAAGCUGUCGUGUUGCUUUUAAAAGGCAAGCAACGUGUCCCCACUUCCUUAUUUACCGGAAAAUAUCAAUGCAGUAUGUGAUAACAACCAAUCAGCUGAGUUCGCAAUCCAUUCGUGAUACCAACUCUCGCGAGAUUUAGCAUUAGGCAUAAAAGAAGUAUGUGAAUAAAUCUAAUUUUUGUGGUGGCGAAAUUCUCGCACAUUUUGACUGUAAGGAAGUAUGUGAAGCAUUAACCGAAUGUUGUUUGAUUGUUAUACAAGUCUUUCUUUGAAUUGUAGAUGUGAUGUUCUUUGUGAAUGCUUGUCCGUGAACGCCAGAACAUGUUUUCUUAAAA